AUGAAGUGGCAUGAGACCUGCCACAGCUGGCUUCCUGGAGAUGAAAACCUCUUCCUGAUUUCUGGGAAAAGGCAGCACCACAAUGUCUCCUGCUCCGAAGCCCAGGUGGAUCAGAGCCCCCAGUCGCUGGUUACUGGGGAAGGGAAGGUCUCCACCAUGUCCUGUGCUUUCACCAGCAAGUACCAAACCUUCCACUGGUACCAGCAGCUCCCUGGGCGAGGCCUGACCUACCUGCUGUCCGUCAGCCUUCAGGAGAACGCUACCAAGCCCCGGUUCAUGGGGCAGCCCCUGGAAGAUGGGAAACGCAGCUCCCUGCACAUCACCGACUCCCAGCUGGGGGACUCAGGCAGCUACCUCUGUGCCGUGAGAGCACAGUGA